rnacentral:rRNA from 1 species
GAUGAACGCUGGCGGCGUGCCUAAUACAUGCAAGUCGAGCGAACGGACGAGAAGCUUGCUUCUCUGAUGUUAGCGGCGGACGGGUGAGUAACACGUGGAUAACCUACCUAUAAGACUGGGAUAACUUCGGGAAACCGGAGCUAAUACCGGAUAAUAUUUUGAACCGCAUGGUUCAAAAGUGAAAGACGGUCCUGCUGUCACUUAUAGAUGGAUCCGCGCUGCAUUAGCUAGUUGGUAAGGUAACGGCUUACCAAGGCAACGAUGCAUAGCCGACCUGAGAGGGUGAUCGGCCACACUGGAACUGAGACACGGUCCAGACUCCUACGGGAGGCAGCAGUAGGGAAUCUUCCGCAAUGGGCGAAAGCCUGACGGAGCAGCGCCGCGUGAGUGAUGAAGGUCUUCGGAUCGUAAAACUCUGUUAUUAGGGAAGAACAUAUGUGUAAGUAACUGUGCACAUCUUGACGGUACCUAAUCAGAAAGCCACGGCUAACUACGUG